rnacentral:rRNA from 1 species
UACCAGACUCCUACGGGAGGCAGCAGUGGGGAAUAUUGCACAAUGGGGGAAACCCUGAUGCAGCGACGCCGCGUGGGCGACGAAGCGCUCCGGCGCGUAAAGCCCUGUCAGCAGGGAAGAACACAGACAGUACCUGACCAAGAAGCCCCGGCUAACUACGUGCCAGCAGCCGCGGUAAUACGUAGGGGGCAAGCGUUAUCCGGAUUCACCGGGCGUAAAGGGAGCGCAGGCGGCACGGCAAGUCUGGUGUGAAAGCCCGGGGCCCAACCCUGGGACUGCUCUGGAAACUGUAAAGCUGGAGUGCGGGAGGGGCAGGCGGAAUUCCUGGUGUAGCGGUGAAAUGCGUAGAUAUCAGGAGGAACACCGGCGGCGAAGGCGGCCUGCUGGACCGUAACUGACGUUGAGGCUCGAAAGCGUGGGGAGCAAACAGGAUUAGAUACCCCUGUAC